rnacentral:rRNA from 1 species
UACGAAGGGGGCUAGCGUUGCUCGGAAUGACUGGGCGUAAAGGGCGCGUAGGCGGUUUGCACAGUCAGGCGUGAAAUUCCUGGGCUUAACCUGGGGGCUGCGCUUGAUACGUGUUGACUGGAGUGCGGAAGAGGGUCGUGGAAUUCCCAGUGUAGCGGUGAAAUGCGCAGAUAUCAGGAGGAACACCAAUUGCGAAGGCAGCUCGCUGGGACGUUACUGACGCUGAGACGCGAAAGCGUGGGGAGCAAACAGG